AAAAAAAAAAAAAAAAAAAAAGAACACGGAGUAGAAAGGAGACCUAACAAUAUUCAACUUUUUAAAAGAAAAUGGGGCAUAAACUCUGGAAACUAUGCAGCAUCAUAUGAAUUGAGCUGAACUGAACUAAAAGCACAAAAGUCAUACAACAAAAAAGUGUAAAUUUCUGGUUGAAAUAUUAAAUUUCCAUAAAGCUGUUCACCAGGGAAAUUUGGGAAAAAUAAUCUUGACAGUACGUGGAAAUCUAUUUAACUAAAAAGAAUGGUUAACCCCGAAUUGCUAAGCAACAGAGCAAUCUAUGAAACCACCACGAACUAAAAUGUCAAACUAAGCAUAUCAAUAGCAACUACAGAUUCAUUAGCUUCAAGCAAAAUCCAAGAAGAUCACAGCAUGGUAGAAACAAAUAAAAUGCGAAACAUUUGUGAAUACUUAAAAAGGCAAUCCACAAUUUCCCCGGAAACCCUAGUUGCUUGGGUUCUGAAUUAUGCCAUAAACCCCAAGACCUCUUUCCAAAAAUGCAACAGACUUUUAACUAGUAAAAUUCAAAAAAAAAAAUCUAUAAACCCAAGAAAAAUUU
rnacentral:lncRNA from 1 species